GACGAACGCUGGCGGCGUGCUUAACACAUGCAAGUCGAACGAUGAAGAAAAGAAUUGAAGCUUCGGCAGAAAUUCAUUUCGGAUUAGUGGCAGACGGGUGAGUAACGCGUGAGCAACCUACCUCUUACAAAGGGAUAGCCUCGGGAAACCGGGAGUAAUACCAUAUAACAUUGCGACGAAGCAUUUCGAUGCAAUCAAAGCUACGGCGGUAAGAGAUGGGCUCUCGUCCCAUUAACCAUAGGGUGAGGUAACGGCACACCAUAGUAAGGAUGGGUAACCGGCAUGGGAGGGUGAAAGGUCACACUGGAACUGAGACACGGUCCAGAAUCCUACGGGAGGGAGCAGUGGGGAAUAUUGCACACUGAAGGGAACUCUGAUGAAGCGACGCCGCGUGAGUGAUGAAGGAAUUCGUUUCGUAAAACUCUGUUUUAUGGGAAGAAAAGGACUGUACCAUAGGAGAAAGCACCGGCUAAAUACGUG
rnacentral:rRNA from 1 species